GGAGACGUGGCCGAGUGGUCGAAGGCGGGCGCUUGGAGAGCGUCUGAGCAGCAAUGCUCCUAGAGUUCGAAUCUCUACGUCUCCG
rnacentral:tRNA from 1 species